rnacentral:rRNA from 1 species
GAGCGCUGAUUACAGGGUAGCAUUAUUCUGUAGUCGGAGGCGGCGCAAGGGUGCGUAACACGUGGGUAAUCUGCCAUGUAGUUUGGAAUACCUGCUGAAAGGCGAGCUAAUGCCGGAUGUGAAAGCCGAGGGGCAUCUCUUGGUUUUCAAAGCUGGGGACCGUAAGGCCUGGCGCUUCAUGAUGAGCCCGCGGCCUAUCAGCUAGUUGGUGAGGUAACGGCCCACCAAGGCUAAGACGGGUAGCUGGUCUGAGAGGACGACCAGCCACACUGGAACUGAGACACGGUCCAGACACCUACGGGUGGCAGCAGUCGAGAAUUUUUCACAAUGGGCGCAAGCCUGAUGGAGCGACGCCGCGUGGGGGAUGAAUGGCUUCGGCCCGUAAACCCCUGUCAUUUGCGAUCAACCGUUAUUAUUUAAAAGAUGAUAACCUGAUAGUAGCGAAAGAGGAAGGGACGGCUAACUCUGUGCCAGCAGCCGCGGUAAUACAGAGGUCCCAAGCGUUGUUCGGAUUCACUGGGCGUAAAGGGUGCGUAGGUGGCGGAGUAAGUCGGAUGUGAAAUCUCCGAGCUCAACUCGGAAACUGCAUUGGAAACUACUCUGCUCGAGGGUUGGAGGGGGGACUGGAAUACUUGGUGUAGCAGUGAAAUGCGUAGAUAUCAAGUGGAACACCAGUGGCGAAGGCGAGUCCCUGGACAACUCCUGACACUGAGGCACGAAAGCUAGGGGGGCAAACAGGAUUAGAUACCCUGGUAGUCCUAGCCGUAAACGGUGCAUGUUUGCUGUAAAAGGAAUCGACCCCUUUUGUGGCGUAGCCAACGCGUUAAACAUGCCGCCUGGGAAGUACGGUCGCAAGAUUAAAACUCAAAUGAAUUGACGG